GACGAACGCUGGCGGCGUGCUUAACACAUGCAAGUCGAACGGAAAGGCCCUGCUUUUGUGGGGUGCUCGAGUGGCGAACGGGUGAGUAACACGUGAGUAACCUGCCCUUGACUUUGGGAUAACUUCAGGAAACUGGGGCUAAUACCGGAUAGGAGCUCCUGCUGCAUGGUGGGGGUUGGAAAGUUUCGGCGGUUGGGGAUGGACUCGCGGCUUAUCAGCUUGUUGGUGGGGUAGUGGCUUACCAAGGCUUUGACGGGUAGCCGGCCUGGGAGGGUGACCGGCCACAUUGGGACUGAGGUACGGCCCAGACUCCUACGGGGGGCAGCAGUGGGGAAUAUUGCACAAUGGGCGGAAGCCUGAUGCAGCAACGCCGCGUGCGGGAUGACGGCCUUCGGGUUGUAAACCGCUUUCGCCUGUGACGAAGCGUGAGUGACGGUAAUGGGUAAAGAAGCACCGGCUAACUACGUG
rnacentral:rRNA from 1 species